AAUUCCACUCUGAUUCGUGUCGUCGCUUUCCUGUCCUUGCACAUGUCUGGACCAGGUUUAUAUGUGGGUGGGCCAUCUCGAGCUCAUGCCGCCAUGGCCGCCAAACCAUCAUCAAUGGUGUUUUAUAUCCAAUUGAACUUCCGAGUCAAUAUUUCGAUUCACUCCAAAAUAUGUUCUGUGAUCGGUGGUUGUUCAUCUUAGACUUCCAGUACGUAAAGCUUUCUGGUCAUCCAUGUUUCACUCUCUUGUCGCUAGGUUUAUGAAGGUACUUCUGGGAUUGAAAACAAAUACACCAUUGUGCAAUUCAUUGGCGAGGUUCUGAAAACACUUGUGUCCUUGGAUACGCUUUGGGUUCAUAUUUAAUGGUUCUAGAAAGCCCAUUGAUAAUGGCUCUCCAAUUCUGCCAGAGGCUUACCUGGAUAUUUCUGGAAGUUCUAUAAAUCCCAGUGAAAGAACCUACCUGGAAGAGAUGAUACAAACAGGAAUUUCCUCCAUUGAUGUAAUGAAUUCCAUAGCUCGUGGACAAAAGACCCCACCUUUCUUUGCUGUUGGUCUUCCUCAUAACAAAAUAGCUACUCAGAUUUCCGCCAGGCUAGUCUUGUGAAGCGAAUGGAGAAAGCUGAUGGAUGACGAAGAGGACAAUUUUGCCAACAAUGUUGCCAUAGUAUUUGCUGCUAUGGGAAUGUACAUGGAAACUGCACAAUAU